AGCUGACACUGGUUUCACCCUCUGGCUGAUGUUACAGUCAAAUUUCCGAGAUAAAUAAACCUCGCUCGUCUGUAGCAGUUUUCUUCCCUGUGCAGGAGAAGGGCGUGCUCAGUCUCCGCCUGCUCAGUGCGGGAUUCGAACCCAUGACAGCAGUGGAGCUGAAUGCGGAUGUCCACGGCGCAGUGACAGUGAUAAGGAACUGGAGUCUCGGGAUGUGCUUGUUUUGAGUCAGACGAGCUUCUGCGAAAUUCAGUCACGGAGGACGAUCGUGACUGAAGAAAUAUACACUGGAGUGAAUAUAUUUGUCAGUGGAGAACACCUUCCUCCUAAAUAUUGAGAGAAAAAAUUCUGACUGCAGGAAAAUGGGAAGUACAGUGAUGGACUCCAAGAAAAAGGACUGUGCAAAGAAAUCAUCAAAGAAAAAGCGAACUCUGCACCUGAACAUGCCAGAUUUGAGCACAUUCACAUCCUCUCUUAUGGACGGGGAGACUGACGGAGCAGAUAAAGAUGAAAUGCGCAAGGGUGACAGAAGUGACUCGGCUAGCCCAUGUUUGAAGCCUCCUUCCAGCCAGCCCGUUACCCCAGCUUCAGCUCCCAUAUGUCCCAGGACCAGUCCAGGCACUCCUAAAACCAUCUUCCCACGUCCACCAUCAUCUCACCAGGACUCACCUCCCAAAUCUCCCCACCGUCUCAGUUUCAGUGGUAUCUUCCGCUCCUCGUCCAGCUCAGCCCCUGCCAGCAUCAAGCUCUUCUCCAAAUCUAGAAAAGGCUCUGGGCUGUCCACCCCCCCCAGCACCCCGACACAGAGUCUGGCUCCACCGCUCUUCUCUGUGGAGAGCCCCAGUCCUGCGGGACACGUGGAGGAACGCCGCUCCCGCUCUCUCUCGUCUCCUCCUGACACAGGCCAGCGCUUCAGCCUGAGCUCCUCCACCUCCAAACCACCCAUCUCCUCGUACACCUUUAACUCUACCUCACGCCAGAGCUGCGUGCUUGCUGAAGGCAUGCUGGAAAAACUUGAACUUGAUAAUGAAGCUGCUGAAGAGCCAGACAGUGAUAUUUACAUGCGCUUUAUGAAAUCCCACAAGUGCUAUGACCUCAUCCCCACCAGUUCCAAACUAGUGGUCUUUGACACUACAUUACAGGUAAAGAAAGCUUUCUUUGCCUUGGUUGCAAAUGGAGUUCGAGCUGCGCCAUUAUGGGAAACCAAAAAGCAAAGCUUCGUGGGAAUGUUAACCAUCACAGACUUCAUCAUCAUCCUGCACAGAUACUACAAAUCACCUCUGGUGCAAAUCUAUGAGCUGGAGGAGCAUAAGAUUGAGACUUGGAGAGAACUUUACUUGCAAGAAACGUUUAAACCCUUAGUCAACACAUCUCCAGAUGCGAGUAUAUUUGAUGCUGUUUACUCGCUCAUCAAAAAUAAGAUCCAUCGUCUGCCAGUGAUCGAUCCGGUCACAGGAAACGCUCUGUAUAUCCUCACACACAAGAGGAUCCUCAAGUUUCUGCAGCUCUUUGUGUGUGAGAUGCCUAAACCAGCCUUCAUGAGGCAGACUCUGGAGGAGCUGGGCAUUGGCACAUACAGCAACAUCGCGUUCAUUCACCCAGAUACACCCAUUAUUAAAGCCCUGGGCAUGUUUGUGGAGAGGAGAGUGUCUGCCCUGCCGGUGGUGGAUGUUACAGGAAUGGUUGUAGACAUUUACUCCAAAUUUGAUGUCAUUAACCUGGCAGCUGAGAAGACCUACAAUAACCUGGACAUCACCGUGACCCAGGCUCUGCUGCAUCGCUCGCAGUACUUCGAGGGAGUCAUGAAGUGUUACCGACACGAGACCCUGGAUACUAUAGUGGACAGGAUCGUCAAAGCUGAGGUGCACAGGCUGGUGGUGGUGGAUGAUAACUCCAGCAUCGAGGGCAUCAUCUCUCUCUCAGACAUCCUGCAGGCGCUGGUUCUCACCCCCGCAGGUAUAGACGCACAGAAUUUCUAAAUCAACCCUCCAUUUCUCUUUCCUUCUCCCUCUCCACUCUUCUCCGGACCCAAUCUCCUCUCCCUGGACAUCUAUCACUCAAGUGUCCCUCUCUGACCCCCUGAGCACAGGAGGACACGGAAGGGACAGUGUGACUGAAUGACAAGACAAUAUUUUGGAGAAACACAAAUAAAAUCAGAGAACCAGAAAGGUCCAGCUGGCAUUCCUGACGGGAUACAGAGAAGAGGACAGCAGGAAUAGUUGAAGGGCUGGGGUUUGUGGGGGGCUGAUUCUAGCUGGGUCUGCAGUAUAUCUCCAGGGGGUUGAGCAUCUGAAGUGAACAUGUUCCUUCAGUGAAGACCUGGGUGAGAGCUGAUUGUAGAGGUCAGCAGAGAGCCAAAGAUGUGCGUGUCGUGCAAAACCAGGCUCUUGAUUCUUCAGCAAUAAACUGCUGUCGGCUCAAAGAACCUCUUAGACUCUGUAGACAUCUGGACUUUGUUUUUUCUUUUUUUUUUUCACUUUCUUGAAAAUACUUCCAAGUUGCAUUUCAUCCCAAAAUGAAAAGAGAAAAUAUAUAACAUAAAAUGAAGCAUAAAACAAAAUAAUAAUUUGAUUAUUUGUUAUUUCAUGACUAUUAAUCAUACUUUCCUGCAUUUAUUAUUAUUGCAAUACAAAAACAUCUCAUUCUCAUUAUUUAUAUAUAUUUAAAUAUUAUAAAAACCAUAAAACAUGUAUAUAUUAAAAUUCUAUUUCCUGUAAAAAAAAUAAUAAUAAUAAUUGUUUUUUUUUUAAAUAAUGACCAACUUAUGAGAAUCGCUUCUGAAAACAACUACAUUAAUAAUUUAAUAUUACAUAGUUGUCAUGAAAAUCAAUUAUUUUUUAGAGGUGAUUCUCAUUAGUUGGUCAUUAUUUAAAAAAACAGUACCAUUUCAUUUUAUUUUAUUUUUUUUUUAUUUUGCUUAAGUUACAGGUAAUAUAAAAAGUACUAUAAUAUAUAUAUAUAUGUCUUAUUAAUAAAUAAAGAGAAUGAUGAAUGGUGUUUUGUAUUACAGUAUUUAAAAUUGCAAAGAAAUGUGCUUACUUGUCAUGAAAAUAAUGUAACAAGCAAAAAAUAAAAAUCAAUGGGGUAAAAUAUAUAUGUAUAUAUAUAUAUAUAUAUAUAUAUAUAUAUAUAUAUAUAUAUAUAUAUAUAUAUAUGACGCGGACACAUUCUUGACAAGUUUAAUGAGAUUUAUCCGAAUAUUAUAGAUUUUCCUCAUUGACACUGGACUAUUAGUUCAAAAUGUCUACUGAAUAUGAAUUGUUUUUUCAUCCUAUUAGUUGUCAGUGGAAAAAUGUAUGUACUACAUCCGCACUGAAAGUCAUGGACUGUAUUUUUACUGGAACAAAGAACGUUCUGGAAAGUGACUCUAUAUACAGAGCCUUAUUUUUCUAUUAUGAGUGUCUGUAGUGUUUGUCAUUGUGGAGACACUACCUGUCUUGUGCAUUAAAAGAGCAGGAAUGUCAAAGCUUGCAGUUGCAGAAAUAGAAAUUGCAUCUUUGCACCCCAGUGAUAUGCUGACCUACUGUAAAUACAACAUGCCAUGUAAUGCGUUCAUACUGAUCAAUCAUGUAUUGUGUGAUUGCAUUUUUUCAUUGUAAACGCUGUCAGUGAAAGUUAAGACCGUUAGGUCUGGAGAGAAAGAAAUGUACAGUUUUGUACACAGAAAUGACACUAUAUUUUAUUUUUUAUGUGGUUGAGCUAAAUAUAUUGAUAAUGCAUUACUAUUUGUCUGAGAUUUGUUUUGUUGUGUCCUGUCUCGGUGUUUGAAGCGAGGCUCAGGCUUGUUUUUUUGGACACAGGAGAGCAUCACUUUAAAUAAGGGUAGGCCUGCUUAAAAAUAACUAGGAGAUUUUAUUCUAUGAGUAUUUUUCAGACAGACUGUGGUGGAGAUGUUUCAGAGACUCUUUCUGCACGCUACGUCAUUAUUAUUAUUAUAUUAUUAUUAUUAUUAUUAUUAUUAGAAAAUGCAUACUCAUUAAAAUGGAUCAUUAGGAGAAAUAUGAUAAAAAUGUGUUUUACAGUCAUACCUGCCAUUCAUUCAGAGACUAACACUUGAACAGUGUAUUUGAGUGUUAGUAAUCUUCUAGUUUAUAUUUUCCACAGCAGUGGACAGUGUUUAGGUUUUAUUUGGGAUGUCCACUAGGGGACACUGUCCUCAGCUGUUCGGCCUUCUCAUGCCACAGUGUCUAAUCACACAUUACAUGGAAAGUUAUUAUUAGAGAAUGAUGAAUAUUUCAUUUAGAAGUUAGAUUAAUGCAUGUCAUUUAAAUAUUCAAGCGAUUUAAGAAAAGUCUGCUUUUGUGAGCUUUAAGAAGUGGUUCUCAACCAUGUUCUAUCUCAGCUGUGUUUUGGACAUUGAGUAGUGAAUCAGCACCAAACACAGUAGCUUAAAAAGAAACACAAUGUGCACAGCACAUAUGAAUACAUUUCAGUGUUUACUAUAUAACCACAAACUGCAGGCCCAGCAAUAUGCAGAAUUAUUAAUUCUCUUGGAUCUCAGUGUUUCUGUCAGCAGCCUGUAAUUCAGUCAGCACAAGCCAUGUUUAUGUCCCGGCUGCAAGUCAACCUGUAUUUAAUGUAGUCUGAUUUUUACCUUGCAUUGUCUAGUCUUUCAUUGUUUCGUAUCACACAACCAUUUCACGAGCCCCAAAACCAAAUGCACAGCCUUUUAUAUUAACACCAUAUGUCGAUUGCUCAAUACAUUCAUAUUUAUAUUAAGCAUUUGGAGAAUUAUUGGAGUUUUAUCAACAGAAGCUUUUUUUUUUUAUUAGUUUCUCUGAUAAUCAAACCUGUGACCUUGGUGUUGCUAGCAGAGUGCACUUUGAGUUGCAUAAAUAUAUAAUAUAAAGCUGUUAUAUUCCAUGAUAUUAGUUAUGGCCUGUUCACUAUAUGACUAUUACCUGAUUUUCUAGAGGCACAAUGCCACGUUCGCAUAAUAAAAUAACAUUUUAAUGAAAAUGUGUGACCUGAAAGUGGAUAAUUAACCCCAAAUAAAUAAUAAUAAAUAUCAUAAUUUACUUACCCAUAUUUUGAAUAUUAAUGUUUCAAUUGGUUUUGAACAUACAGUAAAAGUCAAUGGGGUCCAAAACAAUAUUGGACUUUGGAUAAUUGAUAAUAUUGAUAAUACUGACAUGAGUGUCUGACUAUUAAAUAGCUGCUUAUUAUCAUGCAUAUUGCUAACAUAUUGGCUGGUUAUUAGUACUUAUAAAGCACAUAUUAUAUAUUAUAUAGAUCCCUUAUUUCCCAUACAGUACCUAAACUUAUUAAUAAACAGAAAUGUAUGAGUUUAUUGAGGGGAAAAUAUGAACUAAUAGUGAAUACCAUAAUAUUUAUAUGAAUACUCAAAAAAAAAAAAAAACUACAUUUAAA